rnacentral:rRNA from 1 species
UAAUACAGAGGGGGCAAGCGUUAUUCGGAAUUAUUGGGCGUAAAGGGCGCGUAGGCGGCUGCGCAAGUCUCGGGUGAAAUCCCUCGGCUCAACCGAGGAACUGCCCUGGAAACUGCGCGGCUCGAGGCCGGGAGAGGAUGGUGGAAUUCCCAGUGUAGCGGUGAAAUGCGUAGAUAUUGGGAGGAACACCGGUGGCGAAGGCGGCCAUCUGGACCGGUCCUGACGCUGAGGCGCGAAAGCGUGGGGAGCAAACAGGAUUAGAUACCCUGGUAGUCCACGCCCUAAACGAUGGGUACUCGGUGUCGCGGGUAUCGACCCCCGCGGUGCCUUAGCUAACGCGUUAAGUACCCCGCCUGGGGAGUACGGUCGCAAGGCUG